rnacentral:rRNA from 1 species
GGUUAAGCGACUAAGCGUACACGGUGGAUGCCCUGGCAGUCAGAGGCGAUGAAGGACGUGCUAAUCUGCGAUAAGCGUCGGUAAGGUGAUAUGAACCGUUAUAACCGGCGAUUUCCGAAUGGGGAAACCCAGUGUGUUUCGACACACUAUCAUUAACUGAAUCCAUAGGUUAAUGAGGCGAACCGGGGGAACUGAAACAUCUAAGUACCCCGAGGAAAAGAAAUCAACCGAGAUUCCCCCAGUAGCGGCGAGCGAACGGGGAGGAGCCCAGAGCCUGAAUCAGUGUGUGUGUUAGUGGAAGCGUCUGGAAAGGCGCGCGAUACAGGGUGACAGCCCCGUACACAAAAAUGCACAUGCUGUGAGCUCGAUGAGUAGGGCGGGACACGUGGUAUCCUGUCUGAAUAUGGGGGGACCAUCCUCCAAGGCUAAAUACUCCUGACUGACCGAUAGUGAACCAGUACCGUGAGGGAAAGGCGAAAAGAACCCCGGCGAGGGGAGUGAAAAAGAACCUGAAACCGUGUACGUACAAGCAGUGGGAGCACGCUUAGGCGUGUGACUGCGUACCUUUUGUAUAAUGGGUCAGCGACUUAUAUUCUGUAGCAAGGUUAACCGAAUAGGGGAGCCGAAGGGAAACCGAGUCUUAACUGGGCGUUAAGUUGCAGGGUAUAGACCCGAAACCCGGUGAUCUAGCCAUGGGCAGGUUGAAGGUUGGGUAACACUAACUGGAGGACCGAACCGACUAAUGUUGAAAAAUUAGCGGAUGACUUGUGGCUGGGGGUGAAAGGCCAAUCAAACCGGGAGAUAGCUGGUUCUCCCCGAAAGCUAUUUAGGUAGCGCCUCGUGAAUUCAUCUCCGGGGGUAGAGCACUGUUUCGGCAAGGGGGUCAUCCCGACUUACCAACCCGAUGCAAACUGCGAAUACCGGAGAAUGUUAUCACGGGAGACACACGGCGGGUGCUAACGUCCGUCGUGAAGAGGGAAACAACCCAGACCGCCAGCUAAGGUCCCAAAGUCAUGGUUAAGUGGGAAACGAUGUGGGAAGGCCCAGACAGCCAGGAUGUUGGCUUAGAAGCAGCCAUCAUUUAAAGAAAGCGUAAUAGCUCACUGGUCGAGUCGGCCUGCGCGGAAGAUGUAACGGGGCUAAACCAUGCACCGAAGCUGCGGCAGCGACACUGUGUGUUGUUGGGUAGGGGAGCGUUCUGUAAGCCUGUGAAGGUGUACUGUGAGGUAUGCUGGAGGUAUCAGAAGUGCGAAUGCUGACAUAAGUAACGAUAAAGCGGGUGAAAAGCCCGCUCGCCGGAAGACCAAGGGUUCCUGUCCAACGUUAAUCGGGGCAGGGUGAGUCGACCCCUAAGGCGAGGCCGAAAGGCGUAGUCGAUGGGAAACAGGUUAAUAUUCCUGUACUUGGUGUUACUGCGAAGGGGGGACGGAGAAGGCUAUGUUGGCCGGGCGACGGUUGUCCCGGUUUAAGCGUGUAGGCUGGUUUUCCAGGCAAAUCCGGAAAAUCAAGGCUGAGGCGUGAUGACGAGGCACUACGGUGCUGAAGCAACAAAUGCCCUGCUUCCAGGAAAAGCCUCUAAGCAUCAGGUAACAUCAAAUCGUACCCCAAACCGACACAGGUGGUCAGGUAGAGAAUACCAAGGCGCUUGAGAGAACUCGGGUGAAGGAACUAGGCAAAAUGGUGCCGUAACUUCGGGAGAAGGCACGCUGAUAUGUAGGUGAAGUCCCUCGCGGAUGGAGCUGAAAUCAGUCGAAGAUACCAGCUGGCUGCAACUGUUUAUUAAAAACACAGCACUGUGCAAACACGAAAGUGGACGUAUACGGUGUGACGCCUGCCCGGUGCCGGAAGGUUAAUUGAUGGGGUUAGCGCAAGCGAAGCUCUUGAUCGAAGCCCCGGUAAACGGCGGCCGUAACUAUAACGGUCCUAAGGUAGCGAAAUUCCUUGUCGGGUAAGUUCCGACCUGCACGAAUGGCGUAAUGAUGGCCAGGCUGUCUCCACCCGAGACUCAGUGAAAUUGAACUCGCUGUGAAGAUGCAGUGUACCCGCGGCAAGACGGAAAGACCCCGUGAACCUUUACUAUAGCUUGACACUGAACAUUGAGCCUUGAUGUGUAGGAUAGGUGGGAGGCUUUGAAGUGUGGACGCCAGUCUGCAUGGAGCCGACCUUGAAAUACCACCCUUUAAUGUUUGAUGUUCUAACGUUGACCCGUAAUCCGGGUUGCGGACAGUGUCUGGUGGGUAGUUUGACUGGGGCGGUCUCCUCCUAAAGAGUAACGGAGGAGCACGAAGGUUGGCUAAUCCUGGUCGGACAUCAGGAGGUUAGUGCAAUGGCAUAAGCCAGCUUGACUGCGAGCGUGACGGCGCGAGCAGGUGCGAAAGCAGGUCAUAGUGAUCCGGUGGUUCUGAAUGGAAGGGCCAUCGCUCAACGGAUAAAAGGUACUCCGGGGAUAACAGGCUGAUACCGCCCAAGAGUUCAUAUCGACGGCGGUGUUUGGCACCUCGAUGUCGGCUCAUCACAUCCUGGGGCUGAAGUAGGUCCCAAGGGUAUGGCUGUUCGCCAUUUAAAGUGGUACGCGAGCUGGGUUUAGAACGUCGUGAGACAGUUCGGUCCCUAUCUGCCGUGGGCGCUGGAGAACUGAGGGGGGCUGCUCCUAGUACGAGAGGACCGGAGUGGACGCAUCACUGGUGUUCGGGUUGUCAUGCCAAUGGCACUGCCCGGUAGCUAAAUGCGGAAGAGAUAAGUGCUGAAAGCAUCUAAGCACGAAACUUGCCCCGAGAUGAGUUCUCCCUGACCCUUUAAGGGUCCUGAAGGAACGUUGAAGACGACGACGUUGAUAGG